rnacentral:rRNA from 1 species
GAUGAUCGCUGGCGGCGUGCCUAAUACAUGCAAGUCGAGCGAACCACUUCGGUGGUGAGCGGCGAACGGGUGAGUAACACGUAGGUGAUCUGCCCAUCAGACGGGGACAACGAUUGGAAACGAUCGCUAAUACCGGAUAGGACGAAAGUUUAAAGGUGCUUCUGGCACCGCUGAUGGAUGAGCCUGCGGCGCAUUAGCUAGUUGGUAGGGUAAAGGCCUACCAAGGCGACGAUGCGUAGCCGACCUGAGAGGGUGAACGGCCACACUGGGACUGAGACACGGCCCAGACUCCUACGGGAGGCAGCAGUAGGGAAUCUUCGGCAAUGGGCGAAAGCCUGACUGAGCAACGCCGCGUGAAUGAUGAAGGCCUUCGGGUUGUAAAAUUCUGUUAUAAGGGAAGAACGACUUUAGUAGGAAAUGGCUAGAGUGUGACGGUACCUUAUGAGAAAGCCACGGCUAACUACGUGCCAGCCGCCGCAGUAA